rnacentral:misc_RNA from 1 species
AACACUGUUAACCUGCGGUACCUGCGGAGGGAUCAUUACACAAUACAAUAUGAAGGCUGUCCGCAGCUGGAGUAUUUUAUUACCCUUGUCUUUUGCGCACUUGUUGUUUCCUGGGCGGGUUCGCUCGCCACCAGGACCACCAAAUAAACCUUUUUUAUGCAGUUGCAAUCAGCGUCAGUACAAACAAUGUAAAUCAUUUACAACUUUCAACAACGGAUCU